rnacentral:rRNA from 1 species
CCGGGUUGCGGACAGUGUCUGGUGGGUAGUUUGACUGGGGCGGUCUCCUCCCAAAGAGUAACGGAGGAGCACGAAGGUUAGCUAAUCCUGGUCGGACAUCAGGAGGUUAGUGCAAUGGCAUAAGCUAGCUUGACUGCGAGAGUGACGGCUCGAGCAGGUGCGAAAGCAGGUCAUAGUGAUCCGGUGGUUCUGAAUGGAAGGGCCAUCGCUCAACGGAUAAAAGGUACUCCGGGGAUAACAGGCUGAUACCGCCCAAGAGUUCAUAUCGACGGCGGUGUUUGGCACCUCGAUGUCGGCUCAUCACAUCCUGGGGCUGAAGUAGGUCCCAAGGGUAUGGCUGUUCGCCAUUUAAAGUGGUACGCGAGCUGGGUUUAGAACGUCGUGAGACAGUUCGGUCCCUAUCUGCCGUGGGCGCUGGAGAAUUGAGGGGGGCUGCUCCUAGUACGAGAGGACCGGAGUGGACGCAUCACUGGUGUUCGGGUUGUCAUGCCAAUGGCACUGCCCGGUAGCUAAAUGCGGAAGAGAUAAGUGCUGAAAGCAUCUAAGCACGAAACUUGCCCCGAGAUGAGUUCUCCCUGAGACUUAAAGUCUCCUGAAGGAACGUU